rnacentral:lncRNA from 1 species
UUCUAGAGUUUUCCUCUCCCGUGAGAUUGAGUUCUCUGUUUUUCCCCAAGAGCGCUCCAGCAUUAUUACCAUAGAUUGAGUUGAUGACUCUCAAACAUAUUGUUUGGGAUGCACCAUCCCAUCUAUGAGCUGCUUUUUCAGAGUGCCCCCCUCCCCCCUUAGUAUUUAAACAGUAUUUAAAAUCCUUGUUAUGGUAAGUGCGCACGUGCGCUCGGACGCAAGCUUCAGACGAAGAAGUGAAUGACGUGUUCUCCCGGUGCCUAUUUAUCUAUAGUCGCACCAGUAGUGACGUCACGGGCUGUCGCCGGCCAACUUGUUGGUGUUUUUUCAAUGUAUGCUUCAGACAUGGGUCACGACGAGGCAUUCCCCAUAGUGACCCCUAGAGGACGCAGUGUCUCGUUCCCUACUCAGGGAACCAUGGUUACAUUCGUAACCUGAGACGUUUUGAAGCAUGCUAUUAUGUAUCAAACAAAUAAAUUAAUCAUUUGUUAUCAGCUAACAUCAACUAUAUAACAUCUAAUGUAAAUUAGAAAAUCAUAUCAAGUAUAAUAUAAAAUAAUGCCACAGUCUCUGGAAGAGGUUUGGAUAAGUGGUAUUUAUGUUCUCUUGGUCAAGUGAACAGUCCGGUGGUGGUGACUUCUUCCACUGGUUGUGCUGGAAACAAUGCAGUGGGGAAAGAAGCAGAAAUCUGUUUCAACAAUUUUGAACACGAAGUGCUGCUAGAGAGUCAGAACUUGGGUCAAUCCACUUUUUCUCUCUUGGAUGGAGACUCUGGAUGUGCUGCAUCUGUUGUUGUCUUGCUAGACAAAGACUCUGAACGUAGAGUAUCUCUUUCCUUGCAGGCUGAAGGCUCAGAACGUGGUCCUAUCUGUUGCUGCCUCAAAAGCUGGAGACUCAAGACAAAUGAGUCUGUUGCUGCCUUCCCCGUAGUGGACUCCAGACUCACAACUUGUAGAGUCGCUAUUAUAGCUGUUAUUGCCUCUUCCCUCAUGGGCCAUAGAUUCAGAACUAGUGUAUCUGUUAGUGUCUCACUGGAUGUGCCAGAGACUCAGAAAAAGGAGUGUCUUUUGGAAGGGUGCCUUUAUCCCUUUCAGAUGAGGAGGAGAUUACAAUUUAGCACUUCUCCAUUUCCAUGCUGUGAUUGGCUGUUUUCAUCAGAGCAGGGGAACAUAGUGUGGCUCACCCUUCUUUCCUCCUGUGGAAGUUAUUUGCAAAGUCCAAACACAAAGUUAGAAAAAUGA